UGAGCGUGCUCAGGAACUACUUAUAGAUGGGAUGUUGCUCGUUUAUGGGCGCUUGUAAAUUCAACAAAUGGAUCUGCUCGAGUGUUUGAAUAAGGACUAUGAUGAGCAGCCCCCCAUCUAUGAACAGUUCAUGAGCACCUACG
rnacentral:pre_miRNA from 1 species